CCUACGGGAGGCAGCAGUGGGGAAUAUUGGGCAAUGGGCGCAAGCCUGACCCAGCAACGCCGCGUGAAGGAAGAAGGCUUUCGGGUUGUAAACUUCUUUUCUCAGGGACGAAGAAAGUGACGGUACCUGAGGAAUAAGCCACGGCUAACUACGUGCCAGCAGACGCGGUAAUACGUAGGUGGCAAGCGUUAUCCGGAUUUACUGGGUGUAAAGGGCGUGUAGGCGGUAAAGCAAGUCAGAUGUGAAAACCAUGGGCUCAACCUGUGGCCUGCAUUUGAAACUGUUUUUCUUGAGUACUGGAGAGGCAGACGGAAUUCCUAGUGUAGCGGUGAAAUGCGUAGAUAUUAGGAGGAACACCAGUGGCGAAGGCGGUCUGCUGAACAGCAACUGACGCUGAGGCGCGAAAGCGUGGGGAGCAAACAGGAUUAGAUACCCCAGUAGUC
rnacentral:rRNA from 1 species